ensembl:snRNA U6 U6 spliceosomal RNA
UUGCUUCAGCAGCAAAUUUACUAAAAUUGGAACAGUACAGAGGUAAGCAUGGUCCCUGCACAAGGAUGACAUGCAAAUUCCUGAAGUGUUUCAUAUUAAG